rnacentral:rRNA from 1 species
AGAGUUUGAUCCUGGCUCAGAAUGAACGCUGGCGGCGUGCUUAACACAUGCAAGUCGUGCGCGAAGGUGGCUUCGGCCACCGGAGAGCGGCGAACGGGUGAGUAACACGUGGGUGAUCUGCCUGGGAGCGGGGGAUAACCUGGGGAAACCCGGGCUAAUACCGCAUACGUUGGCGGGUUUACGGACUCGCCAAGAAAGCUGGCCUCUGCUUGCAAGCUAGCGCUCCCAGAGGAGCCCGCGGCUGAUUAGCUAGUUGGUGGGGUAAUGGCCCACCAAGGCGACGAUCAGUAGCCGGCCUGAGAGGGUGAUCGGCCACACUGGGACUGAGACACGGCCCAGACUCCUACGGGAGGCAGCAGUGGGGAAUAUUGGACAAUGGGCGCAAGCCUGAUCCAGCAACGCCGCGUGGAGGAUGAAGGUCUUCGGAUCGUAAACUCCUGUCAGACGGGACGAAGGCAGCCGGAUGAACAAUCCGGCUGCUUGACGGUACCGUCAGAGGAAGCCCCGGCUAACUCCGUGCCAGCAGCCGCGGUAAUACGGAGGGGGCAAGCGUUAUUCGGAAUUAUUGGGCGUAAAGGGCACGUAGCGGCUUGAUAAGUCAAAGGUGAAAUCCCUCGGCUCAACUGAGGAACUGCCCUUUGAAACUGUCGAGCUUGAGGCCGGGAGGGGGGUAGCGGAAUUCCCAGUGUAGCGGUGAAAUGCGUAGAUAUUGGGAGGAACACCGGUGGCGAAGGCGGCUACCUGGACCGGUUCUGACGCUGAGGCGCGAAAGCGUGGGUAGCAAACAGGAUUAGAUACCCUGGUAGUCCA